GACAGAGGCCUCGAGCGUUAGGCGGAAUCACUGGGCUUAAAGCGUGUGUAGGCGGAUCGUUAAGUGCCUUGUGAAAUCCCACGGCUUAACUGUGGAACGGCUGGGCAUACUGGCGGUCUUGAGCCAUCUAAGGGCGACUGGAACAAACGGUGGAGCGGUGAAAUGCGUAGAUAUCGUUUGGAACGCCAAUGGUGAAAACAGGUCGCUGGGGAUGAGCUGACGCUGAGACACGAAAGCCAGGGGAGCAAACGGG
rnacentral:rRNA from 1 species